AGUUUGAUCCUGGCUCAGAUUGAACGCUGGCGGCAUGCCUUACACAUGCAAGUCGAACGGCAGCACGGGAGCAAUCCUGGUGGCGAGUGGCGAACGGGUGAGUAAUAUAUCGGAACGUGCCCAGUCGUGGGGGAUAACGUAGCGAAAGCUACGCUGAUACCGCAUACGAUCUAUGGAUGAAAGCGGGGGAUCGCAAGACCUCGCGCGAUUGGAGCGGCCGAUAUCAGAUUAGCUAGUUGGUGGGGUAAAGGCUCACCAAGCCUGCGAUCUGUAGCUGGUCUGAGAGGACGACCAGCCACACUGGGACUGAGACACGGCCCAGACUCCUACGGGAGGCAGCAGUGGGGAAUUUUGGACAAUGGGCGCAAGCCUGAUCCAGCCAUUCCGCGUGCAGGAUGAAGGCCUUCGGGUUGUAAACUGCUUUUGUACGGAACGAAAAGGCUCCUUCUAAUACAGGGGG
rnacentral:rRNA from 1 species